CUCGGGCUUCCUCCCUCUUAUUCCCCAGCUCCUUGGCGAUCUUAAGAUGUUGCUCAUGGCACUGCACUGCAUUUUCAAAAUCCCCCAUCGCAAUGUACACUGCUCCCAUGUUGCCCAGCUCCCGUGCCUCAGACAGCUCAUCUUUGGAUUGCUUUGCAAGGAGGACACACUGCUUGUGGCUCGCCAGUGCGUUUGGGUAGUCCCCGAUGGCUGUGUACACAUGGCCCAGACUGCUCAGUGCUGCGGAUGCUGCCUCUCUGUCCUUGAGUUUCAUGGCGAGCACCAGCUGAUGUCUGUGGUUAGUAAGGGCCUCCCG
rnacentral:lncRNA from 1 species